rnacentral:rRNA from 1 species
AGGACGAACGCUGGCGGCGUGCUUAACACAUGCAAGUCGAGCGGUAAGGCCCUUUCGGGGGUACACGAGCGACGAACGGGUGAGUAACACGUGGGUGACCUGCCCUUAGCUCUGGGAUAAGCCUGGGAAACUGGGUCUAAUACCGGAUAUGACCUCGCGAUGCAUGUCGUGGGGUGGAAAGCCUUGUGCGGCUAGGGAUGGGCCCGCGGCCUAUCAGCUUGUUGGUGGGGUGAUGGCCUACCAAGGCGACGACGGGUAGCCGGCCUGAGAGGGCGACCGGCCACACUGGGACUGAGACACGGCCCAGACUCCUACGGGAGGCAGCAGUGGGGAAUCUUGCGCAAUGGGCGAAAGCCUGACGCAGCGACGCCGCGUGAGGGAUGACGGCCUUCGGGUUGUAAACCUCUUCAGCCUGACGAAGCGAAGUGACGGUAGGGGCGAGAAGAAGCACCGGCCGAACUACGUGCCAGCAGCCGCGGUAA